GACGGAGGGUGCAAGCGUUGCUCGGAAUCACUGGGCGUAAAGGGUGCGUAGGCGGUCUCGCAAGUCUGGCGUGAAAGCCCAAGGCUCAGCCUUGGAAGUGCGCUCGAAACUGCGAGGCUGGAGUGCCGGAGGGGAGAGUGGAAUUCCCGGUGUAGUGGUGAAAUGCGUAGAGAUCGGGAGGAACACCCGUGGCGAAGGCGGCUCACUGGGCCGGUCCUGACGCUGAGACGCGAAGGCGUGGGGAGGCGAACGGG
rnacentral:rRNA from 1 species